rnacentral:rRNA from 1 species
AUUGAACGCUGGCGGCAUGCUUUACACAUGCAAGUCGAACGGUAACAGGCCUUCGGGUGCUGCCGAGUGGCGAACGGGUGAGUAAUGCAUCGGAACGUACCCAGAGGUGGGGGAUAACGCAGCGAAAGCUGUGCUAAUACCGCAUGUGAUCUGAGGAUGAAAGCGGGGGACCGAGCAGCAAUGUUUGGCCUCGCGCCUUUGGAGCGGCCGAUGUCGGAUUAGCUAGUUGGUGGGGUAAAGGCCUACCAAGGCGACGAUCCGUAGCUGGUCUGAGAGGACGGCCAGCCACACUGGGACUGAGACACGGCCCAGACUCCUACGGGAGGCAGCAGUGGGGAAUUUUGGACAAUGGGCGCAAGCCUGAUCCAGCAAUGCCGCGUGCGAGAAGAAGGCCUUCGGGUUGUAAACCGCUUUUGGCAGGAACGAAACGGUGUCCGCUAAUACCGGGCGCUAAUGACGGUACCUGCAGAAUAAGCACCGGCUAACUACGUG